rnacentral:rRNA from 1 species
GAUGAACGCUGGCGGCGUGCUUAACACAUGCAAGUCGAACGGACAGACGAGGAUCUUGCUGCUCUCACGUUGCCAACGGGCGGGUGAGUCACACGUGGAUAACCUACCUCUUAGGCUGGGACAACUUCGGCAAGCUGGAGCUCCUACCGGAUAAUAUAUUGAACGGGAUGGUUCGAUAGUGCUUGCGGUUUUUGCUGUGCCUUCUACAUGUCUCCGCGCUGCAUGGGCUAGUUGGUACGGUAACGGCUUACCAAGGCGACGAUGCGUAGCCGACCUGAGAGGGUGAUCGGCCACACUGGGACUGAGACACGGUCCAGACUCCUACGGGAGGCAGCAGUAGGGAAUCGUGGGCAAUGGGCGAAAGCUUGACGGAGCAACGCCGCGUGAGUGAAGAAGGUCUUCGGAUCGUAAAACGCUGUUAUUAGGGAAGAACAAAUGUGUAAGGAACGAUGCUCGUCUUGACGGUACCUAAACAAAAAGCACCGGCUAACUACGUG